GGCGCAGCACAGGUACGUGGGCGGGCGGAUCGUGGUGGCUGCGCUUGCGAGGACCCUGAGGUAGAUUGGGUGGUUUCAACAGGAACGCAUCCACUGUCUGAGAGUUUAAACUUGAUUUUGUGAGGGGACGAACAGCGUGACAAUUAAAAGAAGAUCUGGGAAUCAUCCAAUGUGAUAAUUUAUGUGAAAUCUUUCUGCAAACUAUACAGUAUGAUAAAAAUAUAAGGUAGUUUCACUGGAAACAACAGAAGACUAGAAGCUGAUGUGACGUGGCAAUAUCAACCAGGAAUACCCAUCUCGAGUUCUGGAUAUGUGCUCUGAGAAGGUGCCCAUGUCACCGACCACACUGGAGGCCAAUGCAGAUACUGGGGGAAGGUUCCAUGGUAGCUAAGUGUGGACAAGCUAAUCACUGAAGUUCCCUGAUGCAGAGUUGAUAAUCUCUCUAGAGUUGGAUGAAAGACUGUGCUGCCUUGAAGCUCUGAGAGAUGCCAUGCCAAUUCAAGGCAGGGUCUUUAUUGUUGAAACUCUUGCGUAAUGACAUCUUUAUUCAGGUGAAAAUACAGGAUGAAUUUCAACUAUAUGAUAUUGUUUAUGUUCCUCAGACAUGUUAUUUGUCUUUACAAAGAUUGGUUUCAAUAAACUGUGUGACUGAUAUUAAAUAAACAUGGAAUUUUACACAUUCAUAAUA
rnacentral:lncRNA from 1 species